UCCCAAGAAGCAAAGCCAAGCGACGGUGAGGUUUCGCCGCGAGCGGUACGUGCCUGCCUCUUCUCCUCGACGACGCGACGCCAGGGAGGACAAGGAGCGGAGGAUCCUCUUCGUCGUCAGCCUCGAUUGCGACCGCCAGGUGCUCACAACUGGUUCGCACAUGGCGGAGGACCGAAAGCAGUAUUCUGGAGAUGGUCCGAAAACUCUUUCAGAGCAAGACAUGACCAUAGUCUGCAGUGCUACGGUUUGCUUCUGCAGCACAUCUAUCUACUGUCUAAUGCCACUUUUACUACUGCUAUUUUCCAUCUUUGUACCGUAGCUUCGUUAUCCAAAUGUUGCAGGGUUUCAGAAAGGCGCUUCCGAGAAGUCACCGACUCGUGCUCGACGUGGUACAUUUGCAGAGUUAUGCUGUCUAUACUACCCUCUACGUAAGCCAUAAUAGAGUCGGGCAUCUGCAUGAGGUCGAGCGUCACAUGGCCUCCGGCUCCCUGCAAGCGACUCCAACCAUCAGCAUGCGGCGGCAUCGGCUGUGGCAUUGCUUGGUGCUGUAUAUGUGACCAGAAGACGGGCGG